rnacentral:tRNA from 1 species
GUUAUUGUAGCUUAGUUGAUUGAAGUAUAGUGCUUACAACACUAUAGUUGUGGGUUUGAUUCUUGCCUAUGCG